GCGGGCAUGGCCAAGCGGUAAGGCGACCGCCUGCAGAGCGGUUAUUCGGGGGUUCGAAUCCCUCUGCCCGCU
rnacentral:tRNA from 1 species